AGGAUCAACGCUGGCGGCGUGCAUGAGACAUGCAAGUCGAACGGACGAUCAAAGCUUGCUUUGUUCGUUAGUGGCGGACGGCUGAGUAACGCGUGGGUGACCUGCCCCGAAGUGGGGAAUAACUGCCCGAAAGGGUGGCUAAUACCGCAUGUGGUGGUGCAUUCAUUUGCACCAGUAAAGCCGCAAGGCGCUUCGGGAGGGGCCUGCGUCCGAUUAGCUCGUUGGCGAGGUAACGGCUCACCAAGGCGACGAUCGGUAGGUGGUCUGAGAGGACGAUCACCCAGACUGGGACUGAGACACGGCCCAGACUCCUACGGGAGGCAGCAGUCGGGAAUUUUGCGCAAUGGACGAAAGUCUGACGCAGCAACGCCGCGUGAGGGAUGAAGGCCUUCGGGUUGUAAACCUCUUUUCUCAGGGAAGAUAAUGACGGUACCUGAGGAAUAAGCCACGGCUAACUACGUGCCAGCAGCCGC
rnacentral:rRNA from 1 species